rfam:Salimicrobium jeotgali strain MJ3 Contig14, whole genome shotgun sequence.
GCGGGUGUAGUUUAGUGGUAAAACCUCAGCCUUCCAAGCUGAUGACGGGGGUUCGAUUCCCCUCACCCGCU